AAGCGAAGGUCCCAGCAGAGGGGUAAGAAACAUAGAAUGUGAACUCUCUAACGAUGAUAAACCUUCGUAGAGUAAUGUGCUGGAUUGAAGGAUUCUCCAAAUCAUGAUUAUGUUUUUGGAGCGUCUAGAACCCUCAGCUAAAUAUGA